rnacentral:rRNA from 1 species
UACAGAGGAUGCCAGCGUUAUCCGGAAUGAUUGGGCGUAAAGCGUCUGUAGGUGGCUUUUUAAGUCCGCCGUCAAAUCCCAGGGCUCAACUCUGGACAGGCGGUGGAAACUCCCAAGCUGGAGUACGGUAGGGGCAGAGGGAAUUUCCGGCGGAGCGGUGAAAUGCGUAGAGAUCGGAAAGAACACCACCGGCGAAAGCACUCUGCUGGGCCGACACUGACACUGAGAGACGAAAGCUAGGGGAGCGAAUGGG